UUACUUUCUUCCCAGUGCCAUCUUUCCUCAGCUGACUCAUUUUGCACCUUUCUUGUGCCGGUUGCUGCCUUCUCUCUACAGACCUUUUGUCCUCAUUGGAGGUUUCCAUUCCUCUGCUCUGCAGUUUGAGCUGCUCCCCCCAUCCCCUCGCUGCCUUGUCCUCUCCCAACUCCUUUUCCAUGUCAGCUGGAGCUCUCCUCCUCCUCCUCCCCCUGAAGCACCAGGAUGGGAGCAACCAGAGUGCCUCAGAAACCACUUUCACCUCCUCUGCUUGGCGCUGCAGCAUCCUCAGCGUGUUGGAAGAUGUCAGGGCAGGGAUGUCCUGCUCAACCCCAUCAGCUGUGACUGCGUGAAAUCUGUUUCAGAGCCAGAAAUACAGAUUGAAUCUCAGGACUUCUACACCUUUGGUUCAGCAGCAAGACCAUCUGUCACUUCUAAUUCCUGCUAUGAAAAAGAUGAUCUAGUUAUCUUUGAUGGAAUAGCUCUGAAUUUUGCAAGCUACAGUCUUCUCCUUUGCCUCAAUUAGAUUUUCCUCCCCUCCUACAUACUGAAAUCUCUAUUUGAAGGUUCAGCCUUGGAUAAAGCUAAACCCCAAAAGAAUGUUGCCUUUUUAAUCACUGGCUCCCCACUGCAUAUGAUAUAAACUUGCAAACAUGCUAGCAGCUCUCACUAAAGCAAUUUUGACUUGCUUCCAAAGGGGAGAGAAAACAGGUGAAUUCCUUGUCACUUUAGAUUUCACUAAAGAUAUGCAGAAAUUUUGCUGCAUUUCAAGCUUGAUAUAUGUUUUAGAAGGUAGAGGAUUUAUAAGGAGAGGCUGGAUAUUUUUUCAGGCAUGUCUACAUCUUAACCAGCAUCUGCAUAUCAUUUCAAGGUUACUUUUAAAUCUUCUGGAUUUUCACUCAGCUUUGUUUGACUCUCAAAGGCAAAGCACUCUUUCUCAUAGGACCAUUAAAUCAUGAUGAGAUUCUCUUUUACAAAGAGGAAAACAAUCCAUUCUUUUUUUCUUUGGAGGAAACCAUCCUCAUCUUCAUCUGGGUGAAGAGAUGCUUCCUGAAUCAUAAUGUGUUCAGUCUUUCACAUAUGUGUUUUCUUGGUGUAAACUACAGAUAAACAGCACAUGUAAUCACAUGCUUUUGUACUGUAGGUGAGGGAUUGUCUCAGGCUGUUCCAUUCAGCUAUUGUUUUUUCCCACCCAUGUACACAUAAACACAUUCCUGAAGCUCAAACUCAGCUGUGUUUCUCUAGGCAUGUCUUGGGGCAUGUCGCUGCUGUUAAAUUUUAAUGAAAAUAAGAUUGAAAUUUUAGGGAUUAAUGACCGCUUGGCAAAAAUUCAGCUGAUAUCUACUUUAGCUGCACCACUUCUUCCAACCUCCCUUCUCCAAUGAAUAACUGAAAAGGACCGAGGAACAGAAAGCUGUUUCUAGGAUACAAUGUGCAGCACUUCCUACUCUUGGCUCUCUCUAACUUCAGCCUCUCAGCUCUGUCAUUUUUUUCUGUCUAUGAAUUUAAAAUAGCUUUUGCCACCAGAUAGUGAAGUGGAAGCAAAAGCAUUUGUCCCAGCUGUGAGUGGGAUCACCGUGCUACCGUGGUAAAAUCGAAGGGGCUGAUCUUCACAUGGAUUUUACAUUAAGAAAGGUCAAGAUUAUAUGAAGCAGCGGUGAAGCGUUUUUGUGCUGCCUUUACAGUCACAGGCAUGAAGUCGAUCCAGCUCUUCCUCUUUCCAGGAAGUCUGGCUGUAGAAUUGCACUCAAGAAGCUCUGUCCUGUUCCUCUGUCUUUUUGGUGUCACCAGUUAUUUAGAAUGAAAUACAAAGUGUAUUCUUCAAAUUUCAAAACAGCUGUUGGUAAACUUCCUCCUUUGAUUUUGUUCCUACCUUCCCUCUACCUGAACUGAUUAUGUUAAGGAUGACUCUGGAAGAGGAGGUGGCUAGAAAAAUACAAAAAAUAAACACAUCUGUGCUUCUCUCUCUCUUCCCGCACUGGGUUGCUGAGCACAUAUAGAAACCCCAGACCUCAGUCCCCAAACUGUAAGUAGGACAUGUUGAUUCUGAUUCUCUCACAAAGCCCUUAUUAGGCUACACCAGCAGACUUUCCUCUUCUUCCUUCUCCAGGUUGCUGUGGGAGUGUAACUGAUGCACUUCAUUAGGGUUGGAAAUGAUCAACAUUGAAGGAAUGUAAAUUAGAAGCAACAAGGAGCAAAAUGGUUUCUAUUCCUAAGUAGAUGCUUAAGAUUCCACACUCUACAGAAGCUUUCCUGCAGAGCUGUCGUCAGGAGUGAACCAAGCCUUUUCCAGAGUGUAGCAGUUUAAAAGUCAAUAAAGUGCCCUUGACUUUCCAAA